ACUUCAUUGACUUCCCAAUUCCAGUGGAUAAAGUUAAAAAUGCUGUGAGAACAAGCUCAUCUUGCACAAACAAAGCCGUUGUGGUUACAACUGUUAAAGGCAACAUGUUUUGUGUGAAACCCGAAGAGACCUGGCUGCAGAACAUAGCAAUAGACUAAUGUAACUGAAGCUUCAGCCAUUACAAAUGCAAAUUUAUAGUAUAUAAAUAUAUAAUUUAUAGUUUCAUUGCUUCAUACCUUAAAUCUGUUCUUUCUUACUAAAUACAUUUAGCAUUUCUUUGCUUUAAUAGUAGAUUAUGACAAAAACACUUAAAAUGUUGAACCGCCUUUGAUUUUGCACAUAAACUGUCCUAAAAAAAUAUGCAUAUUUCAUAUGCAUAUGAUCUGCUGAAAAUGUCAAUAAAUAAUAAAAUAGCAUCUCUGAA